GGACUACCGGGGUAUCUAAUCCUGUUCGCUCCCCACGCUUUCGCUCCUCAGCGUCAGUAUCGGCCCAGAGACCCGCCUUCGCCACCGGUGUUCCUCCUGAUAUCUGCGCAUUUCACCGCUACACCAGGAAUUCCAGUCUCCCCUACCGAACUCUAGCCCGCCCGUAUCGACCGCAAGCCCGAAGUUGAGCCCCGGGUUUUCACGGUCGACGCAACAAGCCGCCUACGAGCUCUUUACGCCCAAUAAAUCCGGACAACGCUCGCGCCCUACGUCUUACCGCGGCUGCUGGCAC
rnacentral:rRNA from 1 species